rnacentral:sRNA from 1 species
UACACCCUUACUCAACAACACACACGUAUCGACACAUAUGCCGGGGUGCCCUUUGGGUCGGCAUCAUGGGAUACGUGGAGGCCUAAC